rnacentral:tRNA from 1 species
GCCGGUAUAGCUCAACUUGGCAAGAGCGACUGUCCUGUAAACAGUGGGUUGAGAGUUCGAAUCUUUCUAUCGGCU